rnacentral:rRNA from 1 species
UUCCGGUUGAUCCCGCCGGAGGCCACUGCUAUCGGGGUUCGAUUAAGCCAUGCGAGUCGAGAGGUGAAAGACCUCGGCGUACUGCUCAGUAACACGUGGACAACCUACCCUAAGGAGGGGGAUAACCCCGGGAAACUGGGGAUAAUACCCCAUAGACUAGAGAAGCUGGAAUGCUCUCAAGUCCAAAGGUCCGCCGCCUUAGGAUGGGUCUGCGGUCGAUUAGGUUGUUGUUGGGGUAACGGCCCAACAAGCCCGUGAUCGAUACGGGUUGUGAGAGCAAGAGCCCGGAGAUGGAUUCUGAGACACGAAUCCAGGCCCUACGGGGCGCAGCAGGCGCGAAAACUUUACAAUGCGGGAAACCGUGAUAAGGGAACCCCGAGUGCCCGUAAAUUCGGGCUGUCCAUCAGCGUAAAUAACUGGUGAAGAAAGGGCCGGGCAAGACCGGUGCCAGCCGCCGCGGUAAUACCGGCGGCUCGAGUGGUGGCCACUAUUAUUGGGCUUAAAGCGUCCGUAGCUUGGUUGUUAAGUCUCUUGGGAAAUCUACCGGCUCAACCGGUAGGCGUUCAGGAGAUACUGGCAAUCUAGGGACCGGGAGAGGUGAGAGGUACUCCAGGGGUAGGAGUGAAAUCCUGUAAUCCUUGGGGGACCACCUGUGGCGAAGGCGUCUCACUAGAACGGCUCCGACAGUGAGGGACGAAAGCUGGGGGAGCAAACCGGAUUAGAUACCCGGGUAGUCCCAGCUGUAAACGAUGCGCGUUAGGUGUAUCGGUGACCACGAGUCACCGAGGUGCCGAAAGGAAACCGUGAAACGUGCCGCCUGGGAAGUACGGUCGCAAGGCUGAAACUUAAAGGAAUUGGCGGGGGAGCACA